rnacentral:rRNA from 1 species
UACGUAGGGUGCAAGCGUUUGUCCGGAAUUAUUGGGCGUAAAGAGCUCGUAGGCGGUCUGUCACGUCGGGAGUGAAAACUCAGGGCUUAACCCUGAGCCUGCUUCCGAUACGGGCAGACUAGAGGUAUGCAGGGGAGAAUGGAAUUCCUGGUGUAGCGGUGAAAUGCGCAGAUAUCAGGAGGAACACCGGUGGCGAAGGCGGUUCUCUGGGCAUUACCUGACGCUGAGGAGCGAAAGUGUGGGGAGCGAACAGG